UACAGAGGGUGCGAGCGUUGUUCGGAAUUAUUGGGCGUAAAGGGCUCGUAGGCGGUUUGUCGCGUCGGGAGUGAAAACCAUGGGCUUAACUCAUGGCUUGCUUCCGAUACGGGCAGACUAGAGGUAUGCAGGGGAGAACGGAAUUCCCGGUGUAGCAGUGAAAUGCGUAGAGAUCGGGAGGAACACCAGUGGCGAAGGCGGCUACCUGGACCAGCACUGACACUGAGGCACGAAAGCGUGGGGAGCAAACAGG
rnacentral:rRNA from 1 species